CACGUAGGCGGAUCUUUAAGUCAGGGGUGAAAUCCUGGAGCUCAACUCCAGAACUGCCCUUGAUACUGGGGACCUUGAGUCCGGGAGAGGUGAGUGGAACUGCGAGUGUAGAGGUGAAAUUCGUAGAUAUUCGCAAGAACACCAGUGGCGAAGGCGGCUCACUGGCCCGGUACUGACGCUGAGGUGCGAAAGCGUGGGAGCAAACAGGAUUAGAUACCCUGGUAGUCCACGCCGUAAACGAUGGAUGCUAGCCGUUGGCGAGCUUGCUCGUCAGUGGCGCAGCUAACGCUUUAAGCAUCCCGCCUGGGGAGUACGGUCGCAAAGAUUAAA
rnacentral:rRNA from 1 species